rnacentral:rRNA from 1 species
UACGUAGGGGGCAAGCGUUGUCCGGAUUUAUUGGGCGUAAAGAGCGUGUAGGCGGCCAAGCAGGUCCGCUGUGAAAACUCGAGGCUCAACCUCGAGACGUCGGUGGAAACCGUUUGGCUAGAGUCCGGAAGAGGAGAGUGGAAUUCCCGGUGUAGCGGUGAAAUGCGCAGAUAUCGGGAAGAACACCCGUGGCGAAGGCGGCUCUCUGGGACGGUACUGACGCUGAGACGCGAAAAGCGUGGGGAGCCGAACAGG